rnacentral:rRNA from 1 species
AUUGAACGCUGGCGGCAGGCCUAACACAUGCAAGUCGAACGAGCGGCGGACGGGUGAGUAAUGUCUGGGAAACUGCCUGAUGGAGGGGGAUAACUACUGGAAACGGUAGCUAAUACCGCAUACCAUCAGAUGUGCCCAGAUGGGAUUAGCUAGUGGGUGGGGUAACGGCUCACCAAGGCGACGAUCCCUAGCUGGUCUGAGAGGAUGACCAUCCAACCUGUGACUGAGACACGGUCCAGACUCCUACGGGAGGGAGCAGUGGGGAAUAUUGACCAAUGGGCGCAAGCCUCAUGCAGCCAUGCCGCGUGUGUGAAGAAGGCCUUCGGGUUGUAAAGUACUUUCAGCGAGGAGGCGUUACCCGCAGAAGAAGCACCGGCUAACUCCGUGCCAGCAGCCGCGGUAAUUC